rnacentral:lncRNA from 1 species
ACCUGAAUCCUCUGGUCAAGCUUCGACUUUGAAGAAGCGAAAUUAAUACUUAGAAUCCAAAUACUCCAUUUCCAAAGUGCAUUUCUUGAGCACGAUUGCAAGAUCUUGAUCCUGCUAACCAAUACACCACGUGGCAUCCUUUAAUACGGCUAAUUCCUAAUAAUGACUUUUAAAGUGUGCGGCUCCCUGAACUGUCAUACCAUCAUGACCUUGUUGUUGAGCACAUCCAUGCCGCCCUGAUCCGCGAACCAUUCAUCAUCGUGCAGACGCCAAAACGUCAUUCACCAUAAAUCUCACCGCCACACGCAAUCAUGCGCCCCCAAAAACACAAAACCCUCGUUCUUCUCAACCGGAUUCUCUGAAUACUCAUAAUGAUUAGCGAAUUCUUCCGUCGAUUUUACCCUUCAUUUUGAAUUUCGAACGAUUACCCUUUCUUCCUUUCUUCUAUAAAUACUGGAAUUCUCUCAUUUGUACUUUACGC